rnacentral:rRNA from 1 species
CGACACUCCUACGGGAGGCAGCAGUGGGGAAUAUUGGACAAUGGGCGCAAGCCUGAUCCAGCCAUGCCGCGUGAGUGAUGAAGGCCCUAGGGUUGUAAAGCUCUUUCACCGGUGAAGAUAAUGACGGUAACCGGAGAAGAAGCCCCGGCUAACUUCGUGCCAGCAGCCGCGGUAAUACGAAGGGGGCUAGCGUUGUUCGGAUUUACUGGGCGUAAAGCGCACGUAGGCGGACUAUUAAGUCAGGGGUGAAAUCCCGGGGCUCAACCCCGGAACUGCCUUUGAUACUGGUAGUCUUGAGUUCGAGAGAGGUGAGUGGAAUUCCGAGUGCAGAGGUGAAAUUCGUAGAUAUUCGGAGGAACACCAGUGGCGAAGGCGGCUCACUGGCUCGAUACUGACGCUGAGGUGCGAAAGCGUGGGGAGCAAACAGGAUUAGAAACCCGUGUAGUCCCAUGAU